rnacentral:rRNA from 1 species
AACGAACGCUGGCGGCGUGCUUAACACAUGCAAGUCGUACGAGAAAGCUCUUCGGAGUGAGUAAAGUGGCGCACGGGUGAGUAAUGGAUAGGGACGUACCCUUUGGUGGGGAAUAACUCCGGGAAACCGGUGCUAAUACCGCAUAUCGAUGUAAAUUGAAAGAAGGCCUCUACUUGUAAGCUUUCGCCGAAGGAUCGACCUAUCUCCCAUUAGCUAGUUGGUAAGGUAAUGGCUUACCAAGGCUACGAUGGGUAGCUGGUCUGAGAGGAUGAUCAGCCACACUGGAACUGAGACACGGUCCAG